UACAUAGGUCUCAAGCGUUGUUCGGAUUCAUUGGGCGUAAAGGGUGCGUAGGCGGCGCGGUAAGUCGGGUGUGAAAUUUUGGAGCUUAACUCCGAAACUGCAUUCGAUACUGCCGUGCUUGAGGACUGGAGAGGAGACUGGAAUUUACGGUGUAGCGGUGAAAUGCGUAGAUAUCGUAAGGAAGACCAGUGGCGAAGGCGGGUCUCUGGACAGUUCCUGACGCUGAGGCACGAAGGCCAGGGGAGCAAACGGG
rnacentral:rRNA from 1 species